CCCCCUCCCAUUUCCUCCCCUUUCCCCCUUUCCUCCCUCUCCCCUCCCCUCCCCUCCCCUGAGUGGCCCCAGAGUCCCCCCAGGACGGUGUUUUUGGGGCUCUCAGCCUUCCCCAGCCCGCUCGGCUCCUCCUGUGGAACUUUAGGAUGCUUUUGCCUUUCCCAGGUGUAAGAGUCUCCAUGACCUCUCAGAAAGUGUGCUCCUGCCCCUGCGACCCGGCCUGGAAAAGCUCCAUCACCUCCUGCCCCUCGUCCCAGAGCCUCAGAGACGUCAGGGACCCCGGUGCCUCAGCGAUAAAAGGCCACGAAAAUAGGAAGUGCACAGAACAACACCAUUUUUCACAUGAAUAAAUGGAAAUAAUCUUUGCAGCCAUGGAUGCUUCUUAAUAUUACUUGAAAGUAAAGUCUCACACAAGGCUUCUAGUCUAUAAAGAAGCAAUUCUGCACCACGUCUCUUGGCAGUCCUCGGUGGCACAGACACACCCACAGCUCAGGUCACAACACGGGAAGAGGAGGAGGAGGAGGAGGAAGAGAGAGAAAGACAGAACUAAAAACCCUUGAAGGAUGGCUCUCCAAAAUUCCUGGCGGAACCACGGGGAAUCCCUGGGAGCGCGGGAGCAGAGCUACUUUCUGGAUUUAUCCUGAACAAGAAGUGGAAUUACUGAAUUAAUGCCCAGGAAGGGAGUGUCCUGUGUUACCUGCUGCAGUCCAGAAGUCCUUCGUAAAUGGCUUUGAUCUGGAGAGUUUAUACUGACUUUUUCCAGUCCGAAUAGGAACCGUCUCCUCUGCUCCACUCGCUGGCGCCAGAUCCUGUGAUCUCUACAUUUCCACGCUGAGGCCCAUGCAGUAAAGUAACUGUGCAUCAAAUGGAAAAGGAGCCCAGCUGAGCCAGCCCCACUGCUCUGGGUAAGGACACAUUAAAGGAGCUCUUAGAGAACGACUUAGAAGAAACUUUGCAAAAUGGAAAGGUUAUACUUUAUGACCCUGCUG